AGAGGGGCAUGACAGAAGGGAGAGGGGGGUGUGGGCAGAGAGAACGGAGCGAGGAGGUAGGCGGGUGAGGGAUGAGAUGCGUGACUCUUCUUGCAUUCAUCAUUCAUGCACCCUCUCCUCUCUUUGCUUC
rnacentral:ribozyme from 1 species